CCCAGACACUGUGUCCUGUGGCUUGGAGCUAGGGGACCCCCUGGCUCUGUCUGGAAGCCAGUGGACAUUAAGAAUCCCUGCGGGGAAGGUUUGUGGGAUCCUCGCUGGAUUUGGUCACUGGCCGGGUGCAGGUGUGUACACGAGGCCUCAGGGGCCUCAGCAGACCACGGCUGGGGCCUGAGCCAGUUUCUCCAUCCUUUGUCCAGGGCUCUUGGAGUGGAGUGUGGGAGCUGUGCUUGGCAGGGAAUCACUGGCUGGCUGUCCUGGGGAAGCUCCGCGCGCUCCCUGACCACACAUCAGAGGCAAUCGCCCUCCACCCACCUGUGUCCUGGAAUGUGAUCACAGGCCACCCAGGGUUCACCGCGCCACAGGGGUCAGCAAUGGACCUGGGAAGCCUUCCAAGGCUGAGCGAGGGCUUCUCCCAUCUUCCCGCAGGGUGUCUUCUUCCGGGGGGAAGUGGCAGGGGAAGGGAGGCCAGUCCUUCUGGCCUCAGGGGAAUGAGAGGCCAGGGCUAAGCAGUCCCAGGAGGGGCUGUGUAGACAGUGAAGUCAGGGCCGUGUGGUAGCCACCGAGUAUGGACUCCUAACCCAGGGCUCGCUGAGGAUGGGCUUUUCUACAACAUUUGCGGGGGCGGGGGUGGUAUCUACAUUCUACUGGUUCCCUGAUCACAGGAAAAGAAAGAAUGAAAGGCACAUGCAAUAGGCAAGACCCGCUUGGAUAUAGCUUAAAGGGACCUGUUCCUGCCCUCAAAAUGCCUGUGACGAUGAUGCCCAAGGGUUCUCACCUGCCCGCCUCUCCUCACACCCACGCAAUUACAGGACCACCACAGCAUAAGCAGACUGAGGUGAGAAGCCAUGUGGAGAGAGAGACCAGGCCAUCCCAGCUCUUCCAGCCAACCCAGCCCAGGCCUCAAAUGGAAGCGAGUCCUGUCCUGGACACCCAGGUCCUGCUGGGCCCCAAGCUGGCGGCAG